GAAGCGCGCCAGGCCGUCGCUGGCACAGCCCGCAAGGGAACCCGAAAGGGAGUGCUGGAGGAACGUCCGGACUGCACAGGACAGCGUAGGAGGUAACACCUCUCCACCGACAAGCCAGAAGGGGCAACCCGGACGGUCCUAAGGUGAGGAUCAGAGCAACAGAGACGAGCCGAUUCAGUUCGGGUGAAACGGGCAAUCUCUACGCGCAGCAAUACCAAAUAGGCCAACGUUGACGUGGUUCCGCGGAGUUGGCGGGUAGGUAGCACCGAGCCGCUUGG
rnacentral:RNase_P_RNA from 1 species